rnacentral:rRNA from 1 species
UACAGAGGUCUCAAGCGUUGUUCGGAUUCAUUGGGCGUAAAGGGUGCGUAGGUGGCGUGGUAAGUCGGGUGUGAAAUUUCGGAGCUUAACUCCGAAACUGCAUUCGAUACUGCUGUGCUUGAGGACUGGAGAGGAGACUGGAAUUUACGGUGUAGCAGUGAAAUGCGUAGAGAUCGUAAGGAAGACCAGUGGCGAAGGCGGAUCUCUGGACAGUUCCUGACACUGAGGCACGAAGGCCAGGGGAGCAAACGGG